rnacentral:rRNA from 1 species
AGAGUUUGAUCCUGGCUCAGGAUGAACGCUGGCGGCGUGGAUAGGGCAUGCAAGUCAAGGGGGUCGCAAGACAACCGGCAGACGAGAUAGUAAUAAGUAGGUACGAACCUAGAAGUCAGGAAUAGCCUAUCGAAAGGUAGGGUAAUACUUGAUAGUCCCGCAAGGGUAAAGAUUUAUCGCUUCUAGAUCGGCCUGCUCGGUAUCAGCUAGUUGGUAAGGUAAUGGCUUACCAAGGCAAUGACGCCUANNNNNNNUGAGAGCCUGUUCCCCAUCGAUGGAACUGAGAUACGGUCCAUACACCUACGGGUGGCUGCAGUCGAGAAUAUUCGACAAUGGGCGAAAGCCUGAUCGAGCGACGCCGCGUGCAGGAUGAAGUGCUUCGGUAUGUAAACUGCUUUUGUGAACCAGAAAGUUUAUUGAUCGGUUCAAGAAUAAGAGGUUGCUAAACUCGUGCCAGCAGCAGCGGUAAUACGAGUGCCUCGAGCGUUAUCCGGAAUCAUUGGGCGUAAAGGGUGUGCAGGUGGUUUUGUUAGUCUUCUGUUAAAUUCUUCGGCUCAACCGGGGACCUGCAGGGGAAACGGCAAGACUAGAGGAUGCGAGAGGUUUACGGAACUCAUAGUGUAGCGGUGAAAUGCGUUGAUAUUAUGGGGAACACCAAAUGCGAAGGCAGUAAACUGGAGCACUCCUGACACUGAAACACGAAAGCGUGGGUAGCGAAUGGGAUUAGAUACCCCAGUAGUCCACGCCCUAAACGAUCUUCUCUAGGUUUUCGGAGUAUCGACCCUCUGAGAGCCACAGCUAACGCGUUAAGAGAAGCGCCUGGGUAGUACGGCCGCAAGGCUAAAACUCA